GCCAACGUGGCUCAACGGCAGAGCAGCUGAUUUGUAAUCAGCAGGUUGCCGGUUCGAAUCCGGCCGUUGGCU
rnacentral:tRNA from 1 species